CUCUUCUAUACGUUGUAGUACGAGUACAGGACAAGGCGAUUGACACUGUGGUCGAAACUGGUCGUUUGGUAGCUAGCUGUGAGCGCUUACUUUUCUGUAGGGAACGUCAAGCCAUGAAGCAUAUGAACGCCUAUGUCCUUCUCGUCCUUUCGAUGGCGGCCCUCUCUCCCGCGCUCACUAUUAUUGGAGGCGAAGAUGUACGUAGGUUCUGUCAAACGUCCCUUUCAGAUGGCUCACUUAGAAAGAACGUUGGUGAUCCUAACCACUGUACCUUAUUCUAUAAAUGCUCUUUAUGGUUUCAAGCGAAGUUGAGGUGCAGACACGGUAAGCACUUCAGUAAUGAAUUACAGACGUGCGUUGACCCCUGCACGGCCAAGUGUGAUACCAUGAUCACCUGCCCAACCACUCCUUUCAAUGAUACCAUAACUGACGGAUCAGGAGAUGACGAUAAUAAUAAUAAGCUGUUUCUGGAACAAACUAAGGUGAUAUCGACUACACGUUGCAAGGGCAACUGUUCUAACAAUGCAAUUACAAGAGUAAUUUUGAAAAAUUACAACCGAACAAGAUUUUCCUGGAAUUAAAAAUGAUUUCGGCAAAAAAGAGUCGGCAGUUUGGUAGAAGAACCUUCCAAGCCCGAGGAUCUGCUACCAGAAGUAGCAAGCAAAUCUAUCUUGAAGUCCUAAGUAAGAUUUCCCUGAAAGCAGUGAAACGGACCUGAAAACCUGCCGCUAUUCCAAGAUUGAAUCUGAUACUGUUAUGGCUCGCUUUACAGACGUUAGUAAAAAGCCUACGGUGGCAUUUGCUAAGGCCACAGCCCUUAUCCAUUGUAAACUUGUGACGAUUGUAAACUUUUUUUUAACAACGUCACUAGCUGUGAUUGCCGACUUUAAAGGAAAGAUUUCAUCAAACUACAUAAUAUGUAGUGAGUAAAAUUUCGAGGUUUGUAAUUUAUAUAUCAAUAGUAAUAGUAUUGCAAUAAUAUAUAUGAUGUCUAUUUAGUAUUUCAUGAUGCUCUGUAAUAGCUUACAUGUGCCGUUUAUAUGCUCUUUAUCAUAGUUCAUAGAUUAUAUGAUUUUAACUUAUUUCUAGCUACUUAUUUAGCAACGUUUGCUUUGUACAGCUACAAAGGGAAUAACUAGUGGGUAGUAAUGUGUUAUUUGGUACAUAAAGGCACGCGAUAAAGCUGUAUUCUUUCUAAUUUACCGGUUCAGCUUAUCAAUCGGAUGGCACCAUCGCUUGGUGUUAGAGAUCAAGAUACUGCUUUGGAAGAUCUGAAUGUUAAUUGCAGCGUGUAACGUUCAGACUUACCAGUUUUUUGCAACGAGCCUGUUCAGCAAUUCUGAACAACAAGCAAUUUAGCAACUCUGAACAAGGAAAUUGUUCCCGGCUUGAAGUUACUAACUGCCUCCUGUUCCGUGCUAUAAUCAGAAACAACCCAAUACAUAAAGUUGAUCAAAUCUAUGUUCAUUUUAAGACAUUGUCUUUUAAUCCCUAAUAAAGAUUGUUUAGUCAUUUUUUAAACUGGUCCUUUUAAA